CCAAGCUGUGAUUCGCUCCCAGACCCAUUUCACGUCAUGGGUGUGGCAUGAUUAUGUUACAUGUAUUGUUACACCUUUAGUUAAAAAGCCCAUUUACCUGCUCUGUGUUUUACACUCGAACACUGCCACUGGACUGAGAACUCUCCACAUCUGCUACCUGUAGACACAGGAUAUAAACAACACAAUGGACUGGAGGCUGGUACUGGCUAUUUUAUGUCUGACUGUUGCAAGUGCUAUGGCAGACACUUCAACAAACACUUCUACAAACACUUCUGUACCAGCUGCAGCAUUCAACUUGGUCUUUAGCAUCAAUGAAACCUUUGAUCCAGCACUGGCCAAUAGCAGCUCUCCAAAUUUUACAGCAAAAGCUGAAAGUAUCCGUAAUCAGCUUGAACCAAUUUACAGAAGCCUCUUCAGUAACUUCCUCCGGAUGGUAAUUCAUAGUUUCAG